rnacentral:lncRNA from 1 species
AUGCCUUUUUGUCCUCAAUGGAACCUGGGAGAACUGUCACUAUUAGGACUCAAAAUGUACUGUGAGAGAAAAAACACAAAAGGAAAGCAUCUAGAAACAAACAGUAUUUUGUAUCAGCUUUAUGUAAGGCACUGUGAUAGCAAAGGGGAAAUAAAAAGCACUUUCUUCUGCCAGAGCAAAACUUGUCACUCUACAAGCAGGGUGAUGUCUUUUAAGGUCACAGCCCACCUAUUUGGCUAUUUCAUGGUGCCUGUUGGUCCCAAGCUGCCCUUCCUACACAGGCUAUCUACUGAAGCACUGCUUUUAUUAUUAGCAAAAGCGUUAAAGUCAUCCAAUAAACUCUGGUACUACUUGGUCAGUGUAGGGUACUUUCCCCCCUUCCUGGGACCCUGGAGUAUCCUGAAGCAGUAACAAGGGAAAUGUGGAUGAAUAGGGUAUGUCAGCAUAGACAUAAGCCCUUUAGGAGGUCAUGGGUACACAAAAAGGCAUUUUCAAUGAAUUUAACCUUAUAUUUGAAAAAAACAACCAAACUUGUUCUAAAUAUACAAAGUACAAAUGGUUAAUGUUCUUGA